rnacentral:rRNA from 1 species
AGUCGAGGGGUAUAGUAGCAAUACUAGAGACCGGCGCACGGGUGCGUAACGCGUAUGCAAUCUACCUUUUGCAGAGGGAUAGCCCAGAGAAAUUUGGAUUAAUACCUCAUAGUAUAGUGAUGCCGCAUGGUACUACUAUUAAAGUCACAACGGCAAAAGAUGAGCAUGCGUCCCAUUAGCUAGUUGGUAAGGUAACGGCUUACCAAGGCAACGAUGGGUAGGGGUCCUGAGAGGGAGAUCCCCCACACUGGUACUGAGACACGGACCAGACUCCUACGGGAGGCAGCAGUGAGGAAUAUUGGACAAUGGGCGCAAGCCUGAUCCAGCCAUGCCGCGUGCAGGAUGACGGUCCUAUGGAUUGUAAACUGCUUUUAUACGAGAAGAAACAUCCCGACGUGUCGGGACUUGACGGUAUCGUAAGAAUAAGGAUCGGCUAACUCCGUGCCAGCAGCCGCGGUAAUACGGAGGAUCCAAGCGUUAUCCGGAAUCAUUGGGUUUAAAGGGUCCGUAGGCGGUCUUAUAAGUCAGUGGUGAAAUCUCCCCGCUCAACGGGGAAACGGCCAUUGAUACUGUAGGACUUGAAUUAUUAGGAAGUAACUAGAAUAUGUAGUGUAGCGGUGAAAUGCUUAGAGAUUACAUGGAAUACCAAUUGCGAAGGCAGGUUACUACUAAUGGAUUGACGCUGAUGGACGAAAGCGUGGGUAGCGAACAGGAUUAGAUACCCUGGNANUCCACGCCGUAAACGAUGGAUACUAGCUGUUGGGAGUAAUCUCAGUGGCUAAGCGAAAGUGAUAAGUAUCCCACCUGGGGAGUACGUUCGCAAGAAUGAAACUCAAANGAAUUGANGGGGGCCCGCACAAGC